CAAAAACCAACAUUCUCCCCCUUUUUGAUGAUGACAAUUUAUGCACCAACAUGUUCCCCCUAAGUAUAUGGUUCCCCUAAAUUUAUGCAUAUUAAGGAGAAAAUUACUUAAUCCAAAAAAAACCAUCAUUGUAUAUUCCAGUAUAAUAUAGUAUCUCAAUAUCAACAUGAAUACCAAUUCAAACCAAUUUAAAUAUACCCAAAUAUCUCUCCCCUUUGUCAUUAUCAAAAAGAAAUAAAUCAUCAAAUUAUAUCUCUCCCCCUUUGUCAUCAACAAAAAAAUAAUGCAUAUCAAUUAAGUUGAAGAUAGUUAUCUCACCCAUUUGCCAAAUUAAAAAAUAAGCAUAAAGAAUGACAAUAGAACAAGGUUAUAACAAAAUCACAUAUAGCAAGUAAACAAUAUAAUCAUACCUUUGAAAUUUGUUACCUAUAUAUCAACCUUUUAUCAAGAUUAUCAUGUGUAUUAAAU
rnacentral:lncRNA from 1 species